rnacentral:rRNA from 1 species
AUUGAACGCUGGCGGCAUGCUUUACACAUGCAAGUCGGACGGCAGCACAGAGAAGCUUGCUUCUUGGGUGGCGAGUGGCGAACGGGUGAGUAAUAUAUCGGAACGUACCGAGUAAUGGGGGAUAACUAAUCGAAAGAUUAGCUAAUACCGCAUAUUCUCUGAGGAGGAAAGCAGGGGACCUUCGGGCCUUGCGUUAUUCGAGCGGCCGAUAUCUGAUUAGCUAGUUGGUGGGGUAAAGGCCUACCAAGGCGACGAUCAGUAGCGGGUCUGAGAGGAUGAUCCGCCACACUGGGACUGAGACACGGCCCAGACUCCUGCGGGGGGCAGCAGGGGGGAUUUUUGAACAAGGGGCGCAAGCUUGAUCCACCCAUGCCGGGUGGUGAAAGAAGGCCUUGGGGUUGUAAAGCACUUUUGUGAGGGAAGAAAAGGUGGUGGUUAAUAUCGACAUGUUAUGACGGUACCUAAAGAAUAAGCACGGGCUAACUACGUG